CUUUACUAACCAAAAAGGGCCUUCAUCUCCGUCUCUUUCUUCCUCACAAAUCUUGUAAUUCCACACUCCUCCGAUUGUCGUUCCAAUCCCAUUUUAGUCUUGUCGUCGUUUAUCUCUCUCCUCCCCCAUGAUUUACCCCCAAUUUUUUCAAAUCGAAAGACUAAUUCGUCGGUAAAUCUAGGGUUUCACACAUCAAAAAAUCGAAAGAGAUUUAAAAUGGUGGAGACGACGUUGUUGGGAAUAAAAACCAUUUGAAAUUGGCGAGAGAAUAUGUGGUUGAAGGCCUCUAUGACACCUCUGUUAUCUUCUUCGAUGGCGCUAUUGCUCAAAGCGAAAAGGUUCUUAGACAUUCCAUGCGAAUGUGAAGUAGAGAAAUGCGGGCUAACUGUAAGCAUGAUAUGAGGAGUUGCUGAUGCAGCUGAAGGUGGAUGAAUUCUUGUGUAGAUGAGACAAUUGGGGUUGUUGUUUCAGAUAAAAGGCUGUCAGAAAAGGUGCUAUUUUCUACUGGAAAACGGAUUCCCUCGGGUGCUUGGGCCCGUGUUGGUCUUACUGUAGUAGUCAUGACAUGACAGGUGCUGAUCACUUCCGGGAUACUUAGGGACAAUGUACUCUUGUCUACUAUCAGAUGUAUGUGCAGGUGCUCGUGCCAAUGUUGGUCACUUGAGUAGUCGUGACAGUUUUGAGCACUUAUGUGGUACUGAAGGACAAGAUGUUAGUAUUAACAACUUUUUCCGUUUUAAGACACAUAUGUUUGUGUCCGCAUUGCGAAUAAUUAUUAUUGUCAAUUUGUUUAAUCUUUAUCACAAUAAUAUAGAUUUCUAACCCUUAUUUUA